UGGCCCAUAUCCUGGAGCGGGAUACAAACUGCUGCCUCAUGCUCUCUCUCAUGAGACAAGGGGGGCAGGUUGUUGUGCUUGCAAGUAUCUGUUGCAGAUGUUGUUCAUGCCUGUAACGUACCACAACAUACUGUUGUGUUUGAUGGUAUUAUAGUGCUAUGCUGGACAUCUCGCAGUCAAUUCGUUUUGAUGAUGAUGUGGAGGAUGGAAAAAGUCAUGAACUCAAAGUGUACUCUCUGGACCGUAUAAGAGCUGUUACAAUUAAUUUUAGUGACUCUAACAAGCUUGGAGAAGGAGGAUUUGGUCCUGUCUAUAUGGGAACUUUACCUGGGGGAGAAGUAGCUGUGAAGAGGCUUUGUAGGAAUUCAGGUCAAGGCCUUGAAGAAUUCAAGAAUGAGGUCAUACUUAUUGCAAAGUUCUAGCACCGCAAUCUUGUAAGAUUACUAGGGUGCUGCAUACAUAGGGAAGAGAAGAUCCAGGUGUACGAGUACAUGCCUAGCAAAAGUCUAGAUGCAUUCCUCUUCAAUCCUGAAAAGCAACGGCUUUUAGACUGAAGAAACAGUUUGAUAUAAUCGAAGGCAUUGCUAGAGGGCUGCUAUAUCUCCACCGGGAUUCGAGGCUGCGAGUUGUUCACCGUGAUCUCAAGGCCAGCAACAUUCUCCUGGACGCGGACAUGAAACCCAAGAUAUCAGAUUUUGGAAUGGCAAGGAUGUUUGGAGGGGACCAAAACCAAUUCAACACGAAUCAGUGGCUACAUGUCUACUGAAUACGCAAUGGAAGGUAUUUUCUCCGUCAAGUCUGACGUCUAUGGCUUCGGAGUCCUGAUCUUAAGCUUCCACUGUCACGAGGACUCCUUGAACAUCGCUGGAUAUGUAAACACUGGUGGUUACUAAGAUAAUUAGAGACAAGGGGGCAGGUUGAUGUGCUUGCAAGUAUCUGUUGCAGAUGUUGUUCAUGCCCGAUGCUGAUGACCCUUUUUUCAUACUGUUGUGUUUGGAUGGUGUACCACCAGUGUUUUACAACAGUUUGGCUUUUGGAAUUGCUACUGCUAAAACUUCGUUCCUCUAAGAAGACCUUUUGUUUUUGCAUUCCCAGCCG